rnacentral:rRNA from 1 species
AAACUUUGAUAACAAAAUACAUUCGCUAUCCGCCUGGGAACUACGAGCAUCAGCUUAAAACCCAAAGGACUUGGCGGUGCUUUAGAUCCACCUAGAGGAGCCUGUUCUAGAACCGAUACUCCCCGUUAAACCUCACCCUCUCUUGUUCAUCCCGCCUAUAUACCGCCGUCGUCAGCUUACCCUAUGAAGGCCCCAAAGUAAGCAAAAUUAGUAUAACCCAAAACGUCAGGUCGAGGUGUAGCGCAUGGCAGGGGAAGAAAUGGGCUACAUUUUCUGCCACAGAAAACACGGACAAUGAAAUGAAACAAACAUUUGAAGGAGGAUUUAGCAGUAAGCAAGAAAUAGAGUGUCUU